UAGGGAAUAUUGGACAAUGGAGGCAACUCUGAUCCAGCCAUCCCGCGUGAAGGAUUAAGGUCCUAUGGAUUGUAAACUUCUUUUCUCUGGGAAUAAAAACUUCGAUUUAUCGGAGCUUGAAGGUACCAGAGGAAUAAGCACCGGCUAACUCCGUGCCAGCAGCCGCGGUAAUACGGAGGGUGCAAGCGUUAUCCGGAUUCACUGGGUUUAAAGGGUGCGUAGGUGGUCUUGUAAGUCAGUGGUGAAAGCCCGCAGCUUAACUGCGGAAUUGCCAUUGAUACUGCUUGACUUGAAUCAGGUCGAGGUGGAUGGAAUAUUACAUGUAGCGGUGAAAUGCUUAGAUAUGUAAUAGAACACCGAUUGCGAAGGCAGUUCACUAGGCCUGUAUUGACACUGAGGC
rnacentral:rRNA from 1 species